CGCGUGAACGCGCGUACUCGACAAUUGAACGAGAAUGUCUCGCGCUAGUUUGGGCGAUCUCCAAAUUUCACAUAUAUUUGUAUGGCAGAGAGUUCGUAUUGGAGACAGACCAUCACCCAUUGUCAUACUUAACCAAAGCCAAGGUUAACAACAAUCGAGUGAUGAGGUGGGCCCUCAGCCUGCAACCAUAUAGGUUCAUCAUUAGAGCGAUUAAAGGUUCACAAAAUGUAGGACCAGACUUCCUCAGUAGAUGUACGAUGUAAAUACAUGUAGACACUAGUAUGUGACAAGUUCUGUAAAUUACUGAUUUCCAGAGAUGAUGAUAAAUGGUGUGUAUCAUCUUAAGUGAGGGGCUGAUGUCACAAAGUGUGAUUUAUAUUUUUAAAUAAUGUUUCAAUUUUUGUAUUUAUCAUUGUGUUUAUUAAUGUAAUUAAUUAUGGGAUUUUCACUUAUACAUUUAUUUUAGCACAAGUUAAUUUAAUUCUCCCCCAUCCAGAAUUGAGGCUACCCAGAGUGUACAGCAGAGCUAAAUCUUUCUUAUGCAAAUGACAGUAUGCAAAUUAAUGCCAUGGCUGAGUAAUUUUGUUAGGACUUGGAUGCCAUGUGCAUUCCCCAGGGCACUGCUAUUCUAGACUUCGCUGUGUGCAGUCCUGUGUGCAGUCCUGUGUGAGUACAUGUACAUGUACAUGUAUAUACAGUGGUACUGUGUGUACCAGGGCGUGGCCCAUGAUUUAAAAAGCCAGUUUAUCCUGCAAACUGGCUUUUCCCUGUGGGAAUAGUGAAUUCCUAGGUUCUUGGUGAACCAGAUAGCUUGUUCUGUGUGAACAACAGUAAGUCAACUCCCAAGACUAGCUCACGGUCUACCGAGAGAGUCAGGAGGAAGAUUCGGAACCGAGUCCUGUGUGGACCAGGCAUCGAGCCAGAUUCCAAGGCCCGGAGAGGUCACCCAAGUUCCCCAAGCCCGGAGUUCAUCCGCCUUAGUGGGAUCGUCAAAGCGCCGGAGGGAUGUUGUGUGUGUGACUGGUGCUCCAAAUCGACCACCCGUGUCACAAGUGUGAGCUUUGAACACAGCAAGUCCUUCAAAAGGUUUUGAACAGUGACUGUUUAGGGGGGUGAUUGCAUUUGUUUUGGGGUAUUGGAAACGGCCGUAUAACACAUAAUACAGGAUCCUUAUAAUGCCAUGAUAUAGUUGAGUAUCCGUCACUCAAAGUAUAAGUAAUUCAUAUAGUGGCAUAAUUCAAUUGAAAUAAUUUGUACAUAGUAAAUUUCCGUUUGUUUAAUAUAUUUAUUUGUCGUAAUUAAAUAGUAUUUUGUCUUGAUCAUACA